rnacentral:rRNA from 1 species
UUAUAAGAGACAGCAGUCGCCACGGGAAUACGGAGGGUGCAAGCGUUAUCCGGAUUUAUUGGGUUUAAAGGGUCCGUAGGCGGAUCUGUAAGUCAGUGGUGAAAUCUCACAGCUUAACUGUGAAACUGCCAUUGAUACUGCAGGUCUUGAGUAAAUUUGAAGUGGCUGGAAUAAGUAGUGUAGCGGUGAAAUGCAUAGAUAUUACUUAGAACACCAAUUGCGAAGGCAGGUCACUAAGAUUUAACUGACGCUGAUGGACGAAAGCGUGGGGAGCGAACAGGAUUAGAUACCCCCGUAGUCCCUGUCUCUUAUAC